rnacentral:lncRNA from 1 species
UGUGGUGUAGCGGGUUAAGAAUCCACACUGCAGGAGUUCCUGCUGUGGUAUAACAGGAUUGGUGGUGUCUUGAGAGCACUGGGACGCAGGUUCAAUCCCCAGGCCGAGCACAGUGGAUUAAGGAUCGUGUGUUGCCACAACUAUGGCUUAGGUUGCAACUGCAGCUGGGAUCUGAUCCCUGGCCCAGGAACUCCAUGUGCCACAGGACAGCCAAAAGAUAAAUAAUUAAAUAAUCCAGAGUUCCCGUCAUGGCUCAGAGGAAACAAAUCUGACUAAUAUCCAUGAGGACGUGGGUUCAAUCCUUGGCCUCACUCAGUGGGUUAAGGAUCCAACAUUGCCAUGAGCUGUGGUAUGGAUCGUAGACACAGUUUGGAUAUAGCAUUGCUGUGGCAUAGGCCAGCAGCUACAGCUCUGAUUCGACCCAUAGCCUGGGAACUGCCAUAUGCCACAAGUGCAGCCUUAAAAAGACAAAAAAUAGGAUAAAUGAAGUUAAAAUGAGCCAAUCCAGAGCCUCCAUUCUCCCCCAGGUCCACUGCUUAAGGAGGUUUGGGCAGGAAGUCAUACCUUCAGAGGGAGAUGCCUUCUCCAGGGAGGCCUCUGGGUUCACUCUAGGCUGCUACAGGCAUUUCUGCCUUUCCUACCUGCAGCACCAACCUCUCCAGGAGCCCAGACCCCAACACACACCGGCUGGUGGGAGGCCUGCUGCCCUUCCACACCAUUCAGACUGGCCAGACCGGAGAAGCCUAUGGGAAGUACAGAGGGAAGGCACUUGGGCCCUGGGAGGCUGAGAAGUGGGUUCUGUCCUAGACCACUGGCAGCCAGGGGGCCUUGAUGCACUCUCUCUAGGGUCACCUAGUGCCCAGGACAUUUAUCACACCAGCGCAGUUGGUCAGAACAGGAAAUGUCCUCUGGCUUCCUCUGCUCCCACCCCCUGGGGCUGACACCCUGGCCAACAGCUAGGCUUCAGGAGGUGGGGAAGUCCAGCCUCCCCUCAACCUCCCACCGCCACUCCAAGAAUAGGCAGAACUCUCUAAGCCACCUCCAUCCCUGUGACACCUUCCUUUAACUGCCCCUGGGCUGAGGGGAUGAGAGGGAAAGCCUCUCAGCCAGCUCUGCACAUCCCGCCCCACCCCAUCCACAGACGGUGGCUUCUCAGGAUUUCAGGACAGGCGAUCUCUGUCCCUCCUGUGUGCCUCUCCUUACAUUCUCACCCUCUCUGGGCUUCUCCUCCUAUGAGAUGACACCAGAGUGCCGGCUCUCAAAGGACAGAUUCUGUGCCAAAAUCCCUCUUCUGUAUUCACCUCCCCUAAUCAUAAUUCCAAUCCCCCAAGCCCUCAAGGCCAGGGUCCCCCUCCUGCAUCGGGCGCCUUGUGAGUCAGCUCCCGGUGAGCAGGGCACGGACUUCCUCCCUCCCAGGCCUCCCUGGGGACACUCAGGGCAGUGGUGGGCUCACCCCGUCCAGCCGGGGUGGGGGCCCACAUCCGGGCAGGCCCCCAGGGGCUCUGGGCCUGGUUCACGAGGAAGCCUGCAGCCCGGCCCCCCUCGCCGACCCCUGACAGGGUGGCGUGGGAGGAAAAAUCUUCCAGCCAUCUGCUCAGCUGCUGGGUUUCCGGGCGGGGCGGGGCAGGGUGAGGAACAGCCAGAAGGACUCGCUCUCCUGGGGAAGCGCCCCUUGCCCCUGCCUGGAGGAAAGAUGCCUGGCUGAGAAGCCCAGUGAUGGGUACUGGGACCCUGGAACCCCCAUUGAAGAAUGCUGGUCACCCCCGCUUUGAGGCCCAGUAAAUGGGUGUUCAGCUGUGCUUUGGACCUGCCUGGUCCCCAGGGGACCUCAGGCCCCAGGAAGCCAGGGAGCUGGGGCACAGGGCUCCUGGGUCCAAUUAGGCCUGACUCAGCGAGUGACCCCAGCUGAGUCACUUCCCCUGGGCAGCCUGCCCGCCUCAGUUUCCUCAGGGAGGGCGGGUAGCUGGGAACAGGGUCUGGCUGGGAACAAGCAACUUGUAUUACACCUCUGGACUCUCCAAGGCAGGCUUCUCUCGUCUGCCAGAUGGAAGCAGCUUCCUGCUCCGCCCAGCCAAAGAUGCUGAACACCCGGGGGGCCCCCAGGGACUGUUUUCCCAGGAAACCUGGCAAUUAAGUGCCAGCCUCCUCUUGGGAAUCAAUGGCAAUUGCUCUUAUUGAGCGCUGACUGCAUGCCAGGCAUUGUGCAUGCCUCUUCUCCAAACAACCUUAUUAGUACUCUCAUUCAUAAAUGAGGAGACCAGGAGCUCAGAGAGGGUAAGGGACAAGCCCAAGGUCACUCAGCCAUAGCAAUUAUACCCAACAGUUCAAGCCCCUACUCUGAGCCAGGCUCAUACACUUCACAUAUGAACUCACAUACAGGCUCAUAUAUGCUGGAGAAGCUGGGAUUCUUGGCCCCUAUUGGGCAGGUAUGACACAGAGAGGUUAGGUAACUUGCCCAGGGCCUCACAUCUAGAAGCCAGCAAAGCUCAGAUUUGGCUCCAAAGCCUAUGCUAAGUGUGAACUGAACAGGAAAGGCUUCUCAUUUUAAUAAUAAUAACAACAACGACACUAUUCCUAAUUGAGUGCCGCAGCCAUCACUGAGUGCUCUAUGUGCCCUGUCUCCCCAACACAGAGUGGGUCACACUGGGACUGGUAGCUGGAAGGUCCUUCCAAGUGCCUCUAGCCCCUCUGCCCUCAGGGAGGCUCCACCUGGGGUGGCACAACCAGACAGGACAUGCAGGAACUCCUGUAGGCUGAACAGCUGCAGGGCUACCCAGCACUUGGGCUUAGGCUGCCACCACAUUAGGAGCUGUUCUACAGGAUCUAGAUUUGUACCAGAAAGGUCUGUUUGUUGGAGAAAGAUGAGCCCAGGGUUCAGAAGAAUGGGGGUUGGGGGGAGGGGAAUCCCUAAGAAAAACAAGCAGAGCUAAUAUCCACAACAAAGAUAAUAACAAUCUCACCCUUAUGACCAUUCCUUCUUCUGACCAAGUCAUUCUAAACAGUUUGUGGAGUUACUAAUGUAUGGUCCCAAUGACCCUAAGAAGUAGGUCCUAUUACCACACCCAUUUGACAGAUGAAGAAAGCGAGGCUGUGGUGGUUAAGCAAGGCCUCAUAGCUAUAGCCUCCAGAAUUCUCUCCAAGACUCAGGAAAACCCAGAGCUGCACCUGCGGGAGGCACUCAAGGGAGGCUGAUGAAUUAUCAAGGGAUGCUGAGGAACCAAGGCUCCUCAGCCGGUAACAAUAGCACUAACGAUGGUAGGGAUGAAAUCCACCACCAGCACUGCCACCUGUACUUGAUCCCUUUCAAUGCCAGGCACAUUACAUUCCUGCCACAAACUUAUUACCCCAUUUCACAUAGGGGGAAACUGAGGUUCACCGUGUCACUUGCCUGUGCCCUCAGCUAGAAAAAGGCGGUGGGGAAACUGAACCUAAUCUUCCAGGACCCACCUCUGCCGCUGCUCAGCCCCUGAAGGUCCUCAGACGCCAGCAACCGAUACUUUAGUCCAACCCCUUCCCAGCCGGCUGCCUCUGUGGCCCACAGGGACCCACACAAGUUCUAGGAAUUUCACCCUUUGGCUCAGAAGGAUUUUCCCUCCCAGAGGGGGGGUGGUGGGAAAAGGCUCCGAAAAAAACUACAUUAAAAACCCUUCCAACUUCCCCAGUGGGCCCUGGCCUCUCAUCUGCUGACCCCAGCCUGACCAGGCGGCCUCAGCCUGCUCUCCCCCAACUAGGGCUGGGUCUCCGGCCCCCACUGGCCCAAGUGAGCCUCCAGAGCUGUUUCCAUUCUGGCAGCCAGGUCGGUGAUGGGAAAUCCAGACACAACUCGCACCCACAGCCCUAAAGACCCAUGCGUUCACCGCCCUGGCAGGGGCCCGGGAGAUGGACUGUAAAUGGGGACCCAGGAUGGGCUGACUGUCCCAGCUGAGCCUGGCAGCUGGUAGGUGUCAGGGGAUGCUCAUCUCCCAGGUGAGGGGGUGGCAGUCAGAUCUCUGCCCCUCCGGCUCCCAAAGCUGGACCCAGGCCCUUCAGAAAUGGCUUUGCCAGGCCCUCUGUUCCAAAACCCCUGCCUGCAGCCCAAUUUCACUUCCUCCCACUCAGUUUGGCCUGGCCAUUCCCCUCCCUGGAGGCCCCCAGCUGCAGGCAAUGACCUCCUCACCUACAUCAUUGUGGCCCAGGAAUAGGGAAGAGAAACAGGAGAAUGAGGAAACUAAAGAAAAAAAGUGGACUGGCAGGCAGGGCCCCCUCCCCAGUUCCUCAAAUGCAGUCCCUUUUGCCCCAAAAGUCCCAGGAACAGAAUGAGGGAAGGGGGAGGAUUUCUGCACCAGGCAUUAUUAGGGGCCUCUGAAAUACCCUCCCAGCCCUGCUGACCUAUAAGGCCAAUGACCUGUGUCCCAUUGUUUUUGGUGGGAGGAUUCCCCUGGAGCCCCAGGUCCAGGGUGGGAGGGUACCAACCCAGAGACCUGAGCUCUGAGAGCCCUAACCCUUUUGAACCCUCAAAUGCAGCAGCAUAGGGUUACAUGGGCCAUUCUACCUCCCGGAUGCAGGGAAUGGGGAGAGCAAGUCCUGGAAUGGGAGGGGAGGGCUACCCUCUUAGCCACAUGGGCCUGGCCAGGGAGAGUGGGGAGGGGCCUGAGUCUAACUCCCGAAUGACUCUUCCCUUCUCAAGAGUUCAGGUUUACUACUUUCGCUUUCAAGGUACCAAGCAGGUGACCCCUGACCCCUCCUCACCAGGCACAGUUGACUGGCUGAGCUACCUUAAGAGGUGGACUGGGACUGUUAGCCAUAUCCUCUGGCAGCGCCUCCCGCACGACCUUCACUUAUACCCCCAUACAUCCCCAGCACGUGUGUGGGUGGGGUGUCGGCUGGGAGGGUGUCGCAGGAGCUGGGAAUCGGUCACCUCAGAACACUCUCAUCUGAGUUAGCUGCAGGACAAUAUUUAGGUUGCUGUGGGAGUGCGCAGACACUGUGUAGAACGGGACCCGGGCCCUCCUCUUCCCCCCAUUAAAGCUCUCCCAGACCCAGAAGAAGGCAGCGCUGGGAAAGACAGGCUUACCUGAGAGAGAGGGGGUCCGGGCCCGGCCGGCCCAUGGCGUCGCGCGCCCCUGGGCCCCCGAAAUCCCGAGGGGGCAGGCGGGCCCCAGCCCCGGGCGCCUUCUCUCCCGCGCGCCGGCUCCUGGCUCGCGGCUCGCUCGAGCGGGGCUCAGGCAGGAAACCCAGGCUCGGAAAAUGGCCAGCGCCUCAUCAUUUCCGCCGCCAGCGCUUGACAGUUGCGGGAGGAUGCGCCUCCCGGCCGCCACCGGGGAAACUUUGCUGCCGCCGCCGUCGCCACGGCGAGCCGCGACAGUCCGGGCGGGCGGCCGGGCGGAGGCAGUGGCCCGAGCCCAUGCCGCCCCGCGCCGUUAU